UGGAAUUCGCCCUUAGAGUUUGAUCCUUUUUCAGGACGAACGCUGGCGGCGUGCCUAAUACAUGCAAGUCGAGCGCGGGAAGCUUGCGGAAUCCUUCGGGAGGAAGUGAGUGGACCGAGCGGCGGACGGGUGAGUAACACGUGGGCAACCUGCCCGUAAGACGGGGAUAACCCCGGGAAACCGGGGCUAAUACCGGAUAGGUGACCUUUCUGCAUGGAGGGGUCAUGAAAGGCGGCGGAAGCCGUCGCUUACGGAGGGGCCCGCGGCGCAUUAGCUAGUUGGUGAGGGAAGGGCUCACCAAGGCGACGAUGCGUAGCCGGCCUGAGAGGGUGAACGGCCACACUGGGACUGAGACACGGCCCAGACUCCUACGGGAGGCAGCAGUAGGGAAUCUUCCGCAAUGGACGGAAGUCUGACGGAGCAACGCCGCGUGAGUGAGGAAGGCCUUCGGGUCGUAAAGCUCUGUUGUUCGUGAAGAAGGGGUUGGCCAGGAAAUGGGCCGACAUUUGACGGUAGCGAACCAGAAAGCCCCGGCUAACUACGUGCCAGCAGCCGCGGUAACACGUAGGGGGCAAGCGUUGUCCGGAAUGAUUGGGC
rnacentral:rRNA from 1 species